GAUGAACGCUAGCGGCAGGCUUAAUACAUGCAAGUCGAGGGGCAGCAUGAUUGUAGCAAUACAAUUGAUGGCGACCGGCAAACGGGUGCGGAACACGUACACAACCUUCCAAUAAGUGGGGAAUAGCCCAGAGAAAUUUGGAUUAAUACCCCGUAACAUAACGAUGUGGCAUCACAUUGUUAUUAUAGAUUUUUCGCUUAUUGAUGGGUGUGCGGCUGAUUAGAUAGUUGGCGGGGUAACGGCCCACCAAGUCUACGAUCAGUAGCUGAUGUGAGAGCAUGAUCAGCCACACGGGCACUGAGACACGGGCCCGACUCCUACGGAAGACAGCAGUAAGGAAUAUUGGACAAUGGACGCAAGUCUGAUCCAGCCAUGCCGCGUGAAGGAUUAAGGUCCUCUGGAUUGUAAACUUCUUUUAUAAGGGACGAAAAAAGGCUUUUCUAAGUCGUCUGACGGUACCUUAUGAAUAAGCACCGGCUAACUCCGUGCCAGCCGCCGCGGUAACAC
rnacentral:rRNA from 1 species